rnacentral:rRNA from 1 species
UUACCGGAUUAGCUGAGAGGUGGUGCAUGGCCGUCGUCAGUUCGUACUGUGAAGCAUCCUGCUAAGUCAGGCAACGAGCGAGACCCACGUCCACAGUUGCCAGCAUACCCUCCGGGGUGAUGGGUACACUGUGGAGACCGCCGCUGCUAAAGCGGAGGAAGGAAUGGGCAACGGUAGGUCAGUAUGCCCCGAAUCUCCCGGGCUACACGCGGGCUACAAUGGUUGGUACAAUGGGCAUCUACCCCGAAAGGGGAAGGAAAUCUCUUAAAGCCAAUCGUAGUUCGGAUUGAGGGCUGCAACUCGCCCUCAUGAAGCUGGAAUCCGUAGUAAUCGCGUUUCAACAGAACGCGGUGAAUACGUCCCUGCUCCUU